rnacentral:pre_miRNA from 1 species
CUGUGCUUUGUAAUAAGAUAAUGGUGUUAUUACAGAGCACAGUGUGUACACUAACACCAUUAUCUUAUUACAGAGCACAGU